GAAUUUAAUAUAUUUUUAUUAGAUUGGAUUUAUGUUGAAGGAAAUAAAAAGAUAUUUUAUUGGGAGGAUAGUUAAAUGUUUAAAACUUUAAUUGAAAUUUAAAUAUAGAUUAAUAAAUUUUAGAAUGGUUAUGAGAUUAAUUAAGAAUUAAUUACCUUAGGGAUAACAGCGUAAUAUUUUUGGAGAGUUCAUAUUGAUAAAAAUGUUUGC
rnacentral:rRNA from 1 species